rnacentral:rRNA from 1 species
CCUACGGGAGGCAGCAGUGGAGAAUAUUGGGCAAUGGGCGCAAGCCUGACCCAGCAACGCCGCGUGAAGGAAUAAGGCUUUCGGGUUGUAAACUUCUUUUCUGAGGGACGAAGAAAGUGACGGUACCUCAGGAAUAAGCCACGGCUAACUACGGGCCAGCAGCCGCGGUAAUACGUAGGUGGCAAGCGUUAUCCGGAUUUAUUGGGUGUAAAGGGCGUGUAGGCGGGAAAGGAAGUCAGAUGUGAAAACUCAGGGCUCAACCCUGGGCCGGCAUUUGAAACUGUUUGUCUUGAGUGAUGGAGAGGGAAUCGGAAUUCCGGGUGUAGCGGUGAAAUGCGUAGAUAUACGGAGGAACACCAGUGGCGAAGGCGGAUUGCUGGACAGUAACUGACGCUGAGGCGCGAAAGCGUGGGGAGCAAAAAGGAUUAGAUACCCUUGUAGUC